UCUCAGUUCGGAUCGGAGUCUGCAACCCGACUCCGUGAAGCUGGAUUCGCUAGUAAUCGCGCAUCAGCCAUGGCGCGGUGAAUACGUUCCCGGGCCUUGUACACACCGCCCGUCAAGCCAUGGGAGCCGGGGGUGCUUGAAGUGCGUCGCCGCAAGGCGCGCCCUAGAGCAAAACCGGUGACUGGGCUAAGUCGUAACAAGGUAGC
rnacentral:rRNA from 1 species